UACGGAGGGUGCGAGCGUUGUCCGGAAUCACUGGGCGUAAAGGGCGCGUAGGUGGCCUGUGGAAGUCUGCGGUGAAAGCCCGGCGCUCAACGCCGGGUCGGCCGUGGAUACUCUCGGGCUCGAGCUUACUAGAGGCAGAUGGAAUUCCGGGUGUAGUGGUGAAAUGCGUAGAGAUCCGGAGGAACACCAGUGGCGAAGGCGACACGCUGGGCCGUACCUGACACUGAUGCGCGACAGCAUGGGGAGCAAACAGG
rnacentral:rRNA from 1 species